AUGACUCUUGUAACCAAUGAUCUCACCCUAAUCAGAAGAACUUCCAGGCUGUUCUGUCUCACCUUUGUACCUCCUGCUUGUGUAUCAUACAAAAGUCCUAGACCAGCAGAGAUCAGGGGCUGACAUUCUGGAAAUGAUCCCGAUCAGUGCCCGACAGUGUAAAUAAAUCUUCCUCCAGAUCCUGGAAGUCGUUUUGGUGUUUCUGCUUGCUGUUGCAAUGCUAAAGGAGAUUUUACCAGAUUUGACCCUCUCCUGCCAAAAAAAGGUAACUGAGAAUAUUGAUUAAUCCAGCAAGCCUGUAUGGCAGUAGAUAAUCUCAGCAAGACUGCACUGACGUUCAGGCUGGUUUCUAGCAGUGGGGUUGGAACCCAGCUUGAACAGCCUGGAACAUUUCAUGUGCCUCCUGAACCUGGCAGUCUCACCCUGACACCAGGAGCUGCUAGAUGGAGCCAGUCUGCAUCUGUUUUGAGUUCUGAGCUUAGUUCGCCCCUCUUCAAGAUGGUUCCUGGUCUCCUGGGGGAUAUCUGAACCUGAAAAACUAGCCACUGCAAUCUGCCGAGGCCACUGCUCCAUUCCACUGGUGUGUUUCUCCGUGGAGGCCUCUGUAGUCACCAACAGUCACUGUGUGUCUGAAGAUUCAAGCCAUCUCUCCCACAAGUACUGGGAAUUGAAUCCAGGACAAGCACUCUAUCACUGAGCUAUAGCACCACUGCUUUUUAAAUUUUGAGGCUCUCUGGCCUCAAACUUGUGAUCCUCCUGUUUUAGCCUCCUGAGUGGGAGCCACUGUCCCAAGCGAAGUUUAAAAUCUUUUUAAAGAAUGAAGAGAAUGUGCCUAUGAACUCUUGAUCCAUCUUGAUACAGAGGCUAAAAUAUGACUUGCCAGGUGAGCCUGAGUGUUCAAAUUUUCCCUCAACUCCUCAGUAACAGGGUUUCUUGCAAUUCAUUUCUUAUCCGUGUCUGGGUUUCUUCUUUUGUAAAAUGACUUAAACAGCCACCAGAAGGAAUCAGACUCCAGGCUCUGACACAGCUCGGGUGCCAGCUGCAUACCCCCGGCCCUCACAGGAGGGCACCCCCAUCUCCCAGCCCCCACUGCACCUCUGCUACCUGCACAUUAUCUCAAGCAUCUUUUCUGCUUGGAGCUCUCACUGCCUGGUUAAAUUUUAUUUCGCUUUUAUUUUUCCAUACACCAUAAGCAGUUAGGGUAUUUUUCCAUAGACUUGAGGUUCCUGCACUUAUGUGAGUCAUGGCUUGGGAAUUUUAAGUAGAAAACAGAACAAAAUGGCUUUGAGAGUAUUAAAAACAGGUGCUUUUGUAUCUAGAUCCAUCUGUGAAGAGAAAGCAUAUCUCUGAUACAUUAAAUCCUUUGAACAGAUGAACUCCAGAAAUAAAAACCUGGAGGACAAAUAUCAAUGUCAAUAUUAUUAGGAAUAAGAAAAUGUCCCUCCAGGUUUGUAAAAUUUGCCUGGUUCCGGUUUUCGCACACGGAUGUAAAGGAAGGAGGCAGACCAGGCAAAAUGCAGUAACAGUGAGUUGAGCUGGCCGGCUCCAAGGGCUCCGGGAAAGGCAGGGGUUGGGGAGAGUCGCCAGAGGAAAGGGCAUGGAACAGGGUCUGGGAUCAGGCGCAGAGCGGUGCCUAAAUUUAGCUGCAAACGUAGCCAUCUGGGAAUACUAAAAAGUCCCAGUUCCCAGACUCAGUGAGUCCGAAGUGCUGCACGGCGUCUGGAGCUGCCAAGUCUCCAGGUGGCUCCUCGGCGAAGCUCAGACACCACUGGGGCCCUGGGAAAUGCAGUGGGCAUGGUGGCCAGCCUAUGCCCAGGGUGCAGCAGCGAGUGCGAGAGCCAAGUCGCCCCAGCGUCGCCCUGCAGCAGAGCGUGGGAUAACAGCACAGCGUGGGCACUUUGCAAUAACUACUGCAGGUGUGGGACGUGUUCAGAGAUUCCAGGCACAGCAGAAUGCGGGAUGAAGGAUCGGAGGUGACGUGUGCUUCACCCGAAGCAGCGUGGCCUAUGAAGGGUAGCCUCCAUCGUCAUCCCCAGCUGAGAGGCCCGGUGAGCCCGGCAGACACAGGGAUCCAAGCUGCGAGGCCGCCCUCUAGUGUCGGCCUGCGUACUCCGGGCACUGGGGCCCAGUGCUCUCUGGGGGACUUUGCGUCUUCGCGGAUGACCACAACCAAGGGCACUUCUCUGACGUCCACAAAGAACACACAAGAGCAGCUCUAGGCUCUCCAGAAGGGCCUGCAAGUGCCAGCAAGAAGCAGAGAGCAAGUGGCUUGGGAGGCUUCCAGGAGGAAGUGGGACUCCACUGGGGCCAAAGGGGAUCCUGAAUUAAUAAAUUAGCGUGUGUGGCAAGACCUCCCACCCUUGGGGUAGCCAAGAGACCCUGCACAGUGGGAAGAGGACAAAGUGUAUGCAAGUCACAGUCAAAGCUUUGGCUGCUGGUUCCCCCCACUGUGUGACCUUGUGUUUAACUUCCCUGAGUUUGUGUAUAUCUAUCUGUGAAAUGAAGCUAUGGUAAAGAAGAACAGUGCAUCAGUCUUUGGCCCUAUGUGCCACAGACUAAGCACUUUGCACCGUGAACUAAUUUAACCCUCACAGCACUCUCAUGUGGUAAACAAAUGGUUCCAUCUUACAAAUAAGGAAAAGGAAGCACAGAGAGGUUAUGUGACUUUGCAGUCACCAGGCACAUGGUUGACAUUCAGUAAAUAGUGGCUGCUGCUGCGACCACAGAGAUGGCAGAGAUUGUGCUGAAGGAGGUGAGCUCAUGGGCAGAGUCAGGGAGGAAAUUUCAAGAGAUGGAAAGUGACAUUCUCCAGGGCACAUCAAGCAUGACUCAGGACCAUUUGUUUGUGACUACACACCAUUGUCCCUGGAACUUACCAAAUGGGAUCAUAGGAGCAAAGGCUCUUAAAAGUGCUUUCUUCUCACCAGCCUCACUGACAAAACCCAGUUGGAUCCUGAAGAAGGAUCAAGUCUCUUUCCCAGCUUCCCUUGAAGCUAGGUGUGGUCAUGUGACCUCCAUCUGCCCAAUGAGAUGUGAGGAACGUGUCCUAGGAGGACCCUGGGGAAGGUUUCCUCCCUAACAGAGGAAGGCAUGGAAAUAGUCUUUUCCUUCCUGGAUGGGAAUGUUGUCAUGCAAAGAUAGGAUAACUAGCAUUGUCAUAGCUAUCUUGCAGCCACAAAAGAAAGACCAUGAAAUACCAAGUUCCCAAAGAUUUUUUGAUGUUCCACAUUCCCCAUAGAAUCUCCUACUUCCAGAAUUCCAGAUAUGUGACAAUAAGCCCCUAUUUGUUUUAAAAACAUGAUUAUUGCAGAAAAAUACUCUUAUUAUCACACAUGUUGUUUCAGUGUUUUAAUUCUUAUACCCCAAAAUUCAUUUAUUUAAUGAGCAAGUAUCACUGAGUACAGACUACAUGUCAAUUACAGUAGAGCAAGAGGAUGGUUAACAAGAAAUGUCCGUAAUUCAGAGAGGUAUAAUUCUGGCUUUGGAAAUUUCUAGGCUCGGUAAGGGAAAACAAACUUUGAAAAAUAUGAUGGGUCAGGAUGUUAGGCGGAAGGAAAGCAUGGAAAUCCUUAUAGAAUGUAGAACGGGUAGCUAACCUUGGUAAGCAUCUUGGAAGUUCUUGAAGGCUGGUGAUUAUUUAGGUUUAGAUGUUAUAAUAAAGAGACCCCAAAAUACAGGAUCUCAAAGCAGAGAGUUUUCAUUUUAUUGUUUUAAUAUAACAGCUGUUGUUUCAUGUUCUACCAAGGAUCUGCCAUCCUCAAGAUGGCUUUGCUCUGUGGAUUCAAGAUGGCAGCUCCUGUUCUUACCACUGACCUGCUGAGUGUAUGCAUCUUCCCACACCUUACUGGGCCAAUUUUAGUUAUGUGAGCUUGUCUAGCUUGGAAGAGUCUUGGGAAUGCAGUUUUUAGCUGGUCACCCAGGGGACAACUGACCUCAGAGAAGUUCUAUUUUUUUUUUUUUUUACAUUUGGUACAUGUGGGGAAAAUUUAAUGCAAAGUAAAGAUGUAAUAUAAACAUAACAGGUAAAAUUCUGAUGGUUAGAAAAACAAAGGUUUACUAACUGACAUAUGUUGGCUCCAGUGAGAAAGAAAAGCAGACCACAUAAUGUACAUGGUAUGAUAUCCAGUGAUGUUAGGAAAUCAGCAGGUAUCUCGUUAUACAACAUGCAAAACAUAACAUUCUUUAAUGUACUAGUUAUGUGAAAAGAACACAACUUUGUCAAAAACACAUGCUCCAAGCCUCUAUAAAUGUAUAUCUUAAUGCCUAAUAUUGCAUCAACUUCAGAAACAUCAUUUAUGAAAGAGAAAAUGAAGCACGUGCAUCAAAAAAUUAAAGCAAGUGCAGUGUUAAAAUUAUAAUCACCAAAAAAUAAGAGACUAGACCAAUAUCACUCUGAACAGUGAAUAACAGUGUUCUUGAUUUUAUAUCAUAAUGCUACAGAAUUAGCAUGGGGUAUCUUAGUCUCUCGAGAAGUUCUAUUUCUAAGAAGGGGGAAGUGCUUUCCUGAGGACAGCUGGCAGUUACAGUUGGUAAAGGAUUGGGAAUACUUUCCUCUUAACCCUGAGAGCAGUGAGGAGUCACUGAAAAAGUUGAAAUGCUGGGUCACAUUUGUGCUUUAAAAAAGUUCACUAUGAUAGCUGUGUAGGGAGGAGUACAGUGGAGGAAAUAAUACAGGAGGUGGUGAGGAUUCAGCAGACCUUCUGAAAACAGUGGUUGAUCUGGGUGGGAACAAUCAGAAGGGUCCAUUGGUCCAGGUGGGUUUUUUUUUAAAUUUGUUUGUUUUCUUGGAUUUUUGCUGAGUGAAAGCUUCCUUAAACAAGAACCAGAGUCAUCCCUGUUUUUCACUGAUCAGGAUUUCUUCUGCAUCUCCUAGCCCCAUGAUGUCAUUUCAGUAGAGCUAAACCUGUGUAACCUAAAUAUAUUGUGAGAGCCACUACAAUUUCCCGUGGUGCCCAGCCUGUAAUGAGGUCAGUCUCUACUACUACGACAUAAGUAGCAAAAGAGUUUAGAAAUGACAUUUGUUAGACUACCCUAAGGUUACUUACUGGUCAAGAAGGCUGUAUGACCCAAGGCUGGUGCAUUCUUGAGGAGGCAGCAUUUGAAGGUCCUUGAAGGACCAAUAGGGUAACUUCAGAUAAAAUGUUGCAGAAAAACUACUCAAAGUUCUCCCCAUCCAACAUAUGCUCCCUUUCUUGCCUUGUCUCUAGGGGCAGAAGAUGGGAUUCUGAUUGCUUUAAUAUGGAAACAAAUUUAGUUUUUGCUGCCUUUGUGUUACACACUCAAAGGAUGGAAUGCAAUUUUUUACUUUCUAAGAAGGUCUGAAGAUUAAAGGUCUCCA